GGAGUUGUGGCUCAGCGGUAGAGUGCCCGCCUCACACGUGAGAGAUCCUGGGUUCGAUCCUCAGCACCA
rfam:Ictidomys tridecemlineatus contig025902, whole genome shotgun sequence.